rnacentral:rRNA from 1 species
UACGUAGGGGGCAAGCGUUGUCCGGAUUUAUUGGGCGUAAAGAGCGUGUAGGCGGCUAGAUAGGUCCGUUGUGAAAACUCGAGGCUCAACCUCGAGACGUCGAUGGAAACCGUAUGGCUAGAGUCCGGAAGAGGAGAGUGGAAUUCCCGGUGUAGCGGUGAAAUGCGCAGAUAUCGGGAAGAACACCCGUGGCGAAGGCGGCUCUCUGGGACGGUACUGACGCUGAGACGCGAAAGCGUGGGGAGCGAACAGG